rnacentral:rRNA from 1 species
GGACCCGCACAAGCAGUGGAGCAUGUGGUUUAAUUCGACGCAACGCGAAGAACCUUACCAGCGUUUGACAUGAGAAGUGCCGGUUACAGAAUGGUAACCUUCAGUUCGGCUGGCUUCUACACAGGUGCUGCAUGGCUGUCGUCAGCUCGUGUCGUGAGAUGUUGGUUAAGUCCCGCAACGAGCGCAACCCUUAUCGUUAGUUACUAACAGUUCGGCUGAGGACUCUAGCGAAACUGCCGGUGAUAAGCCGGAGGAAGGUGGGGAUGACGUCAAGUCCUCAUGGCCCUUACACGCUGGGCUACACACGUGCUACAUGGCCGGUACAGAGAGCAGCCACUUCGCAAGAAGGAGCG